ACAGGGGAGCAUAAAGCUGAGAUUUACGCGAAGCGUAUAAACCCUAAACCUGAUCCGGGUAAUGCCGGCGUAGGGAGUUUGGCA
rnacentral:ncRNA from 1 species